ensembl:misc_RNA Y_RNA Y RNA
GGCUGGUCUGAAGGUAGUGAGUUAUCUCAAUUGAUUGUUCAUGGUCAGUUACAGAUCAAACUCCUUGUUCCAUUCUUUCCCCAACCCUUCUCACUACUGUACUUGACUAUGCUUUAA